UUUACGUUUAAAAACAUUUUUUUCUUUUAAGCAUUUUAGAGCAUUCUGGAUGUUGUUAAUAUGAUUCUUCACUAUCUGAGGAGCUUUUGAGUGUAGACAGAACAUUGACAACUCCUUGUGCUUUAUUUUUUUACAUAUACAUAUACAUACACAUAGGAAUUGGUAAGACAGUUUUCUCUACAUUCUGAUUAUUAAGUUCCCUUCAAUAAUUUAAACUACACUUACAAAUUGAAUAUAACUGAUUCUUUGGAUUAUGUCAAAUCCCUGAAGUAGUUAUAAAAUAUAAAAAUUCAAUAACUGUGAAAUAUUUUACUACACUUCUAUGUAAACCUAUUCUAAAAGAUGAGCUACCGUAGGUUUGUUUCUUCAUUGUUUAUGUGUUUGUUUUUAUGCCUUUCUGGAGUUGUGGCAAUACUUAUUUUGACUCCUUUCCAUGGUUAUAACAAUGUUGCCAGACCUCAAGUAAAAAGAUUUCUUGCUACACUAGCUAGAUUACAGAAACUGGCUCAGGAACCGAUUGAUUUGAUAUUCACACUCUUGACUGGUGACUUCUAUAAGGUGAUUCAAACUCAAGUCAUUGGUCAUUGGUCAUCUGAUGGGGUCCUUUUAUAAAUGAACUUCAUUUUGCUUUUUAUUUAUUUUUUAUAACAGUUUGUGGGUUUAAAUACAUUUUAUUCUCUUGCAAUCUGGUGCUUUGUCUCAGAGUGAUGUCAACUUCAGGUUUUGCUUGCUCACUGUUACAUCAUUCCUUUUCUUGGCAUCAUAUACAUUUAGCCAACUUGGAGCACUAUUGGAAACUUAUGUUUUUUUUCUAAUAUCCUAUAAUAUGCAGUGUCAUCUAGAGGACUCAUAUUCUAAGAGCUGAAGUUACAAUUUGACAGCAUGCCUCUGAGAUCAUUUGGCAAAUUAGUCAUCUUGGCACACAUUGUCGGACCUCUUUCUCCAUCAAGAAAUAACGACUGCUAAUUCCCCACUGGGCUCUCCUCUACCUGAGUAUCAUGGGGGACCAUUAGUCCCCAUGAGGUCUCGUGUUCUUGGCAAGAUGCCCACCCUUCUGUCCUUACGCAAAUGGAAAGACAGUGCGUAUCUGUGCCUGAUCCACACGUACUUAACCAAAGAAGCAAAGUACCUCUAUAUACAUUCUCUUGCUUUCUAAAAUUAUUUUAAAAAUUGGUCAUAUCUGUUAGAUUUGCCCUUCUUUUUUACACCACCUUGCAUGUCAUUUUCAUUGAACUCUUUUUUGUAUGUUCCUGACAGAAGUCUGUUACCUGGGGAAGUUUGACUGUAUUACCCAUCAAUACAGUUGACCACUUAAAUUGGCUUAGCAAACCCUUUUCAUACGUUAAUACCCCGAGUAAACGUAAAUUCAGAUCGGAAUUCUAGCCUGGGAAUGUUUGCUCCUUUGAGUUACAUAUUCAUCUGUGGCUUGGAACAGUGGUGUAUUUGGAAAGUGAGUCAUUUAGACCCUUACUGCCUUUGCCAUUCUCUUAUUUUGUUUGACAUUCCUGAACUCCGGGACAGCUUCUAUAGUUGGCAGCAGGACACGACCAGGACAAGGCACUAGACGGGGUCACACGACUCAGAAGCCCUAAAACCCCUUGGAGCUAAAACCUCAUAAAAUUUCCCAUGUGUUUGCAACUUGCUACCAUUUGGUCGAAUGAGGACACUUUUUAUCUUCAUUAUAGGAAAAGUUAUCCUACAAUUUGCAGAGAAAGGGAUUUUGACAUAGAGGAGGAAGCAUCAGGGGAGUACAACACUUAUUGUGCCUUUACCCCUCCAUCAGCAGCGAGGGUCUAACUCCUGACCUUCCUCCUUCAGGGCCCCUGGCGUCUGUCUGUGGGCUGAGGUUACUGCACCAUCGGCAGAAGCGGAUCAUUGGUGGGAAAAAUUCCUUAAGGAUUUCUUGCUAUGGAUGAACUUUUUCAAGACUUAAAAAAGGGACAAGCUUCCUGGUUAAAGUCAUGUCAAAGGAGAAUCUGAUAAGUCUGGCUUUUCGGAUCGUCCCUAACCUGUGCAUGGAGGAAUUGUCUUCAGAAGGGAGUUUCUGAUGUCCUUAAGCACCUAAAAUUUUUAUAAGUAAAUAAAAGAGCAAAGCUGUCCUGAAGAGAGAACCAAGGCUGCAAGGCGCAGCAGCAGGAGGCGGACUACGGUUCAAACCCUCACUCCACAGCCGGUGUUUCCAGGGGUGGGUCACCCGCUCUCCGAGUGCCUCAGUUUCUUCACCCAUUCAAUAGAGUAUCGACUGGCUUAAAAAAUAUACAAAAUAAAAUAAAAAUAGGAGUAAUAACAGUACUACCUCUUAGACACUCCUUUCUAGCAACUGUCCUACCUUCAUCAAAUGCCAUCAUAUUGCACAGUGCAUGUUCCGAUCAGUCAAUAACUUCUAUUGCUUCCGACAACUCAAAAUCUCUUCCUUUAAUCUGUCAUUGUUUGUUCUCUCCAGCUGACCCCAUGGCUUGGUUACUGGACUCUGCCUUACUGUCUAGCUCAUACAUUAAUAAAUGGGCACCUUAGCUCUGCUCUGCAGCUCUGGAGACCGUGCUUAGAGCAGGGCUGCCAGAGACGAUGCAGACUUUCAAAAUAAAUACGCCCCAACUGACUGCAGAAAGGUAAUCGAACUGAUCAGCAAAUUCAUAUUAAAUAAGGCAUCUGGAGAAGAUAUUUUUGACACUCAAAGUUGUUUUUAAAGUUUUGGGUUCUAAUUCUUGUCAUCUUAUUUAUUACUGUUAACUCUGCAGAUAAUAAUUUUACCAGUUUUAUUUCAAAAUGUAGUCCAUCUUUUUUCUUUUAGAGCAAUCGCUCUCACUCCCUCUCAACCAUAUACUUUUCCUCUGUGCUUACUUUCUGAAUGUUAAUAUGAGUGGACUGUCCAGGUCAACAUUCUGGAGGCAGCGGUUAUGAACUGUCCUUCUACAGCCAGACGUUGUCCUGACCUCUGUCACAUAUUCACGUGAUUAGUCCAAAAGCCUGUCUCCCCCUUCUCCUCCCACCUGCUCCCCCCACUGUGACCAGGGCAAAAUCCCUACAUUCUCUAGGUAAGCUGAAUGCGUGCCCUCUAUUUUUGUAAGAAUAUAAGACAAGUUUCUACUCUACGUGGACGAUUGUUUCAUUGCAUACCUUCAAAUCCCCUGGCUCUGCUAUUUCUAGCCUUCGGUUGAACUUGGAAAAAGUAACUUAACCUCUUAUGUUUUCUCACCUUUCAAAUGUAGAAAAUAAAAAUUAUCUCUGAAGUUGU